CAGUAGCCGCGGGAAUACGUAGGUGGCAAGCGUUGUCCGGAAUUAUUGGGCGUAAAGGGCUCGCAGGCGGUUUCUUAAGUCUGAUGUGAAAGCCCCCGGCUCAACCCGGGAGGGUCAUUGGAAACUGGGAAACUUGAGUGCAGAAGAGGAGAGUGGAAUUCCACGUGUAGCGGUGAAAUGCGUAGAGAUGUGGAGGAACACCAGUGGCGAAGGCGACUCUCUGGUCUGUAACUGACGCUGAGGAGCGAAAGCGUGGGGAGCGAACAGGAUUAGAUACCCGCGUAGUCCCUGUCUCUUAUAC
rnacentral:rRNA from 1 species